GUCCAUGCCGUAAACGAUGUCUACUAGCCGUUGGGGUCUUUGAGACUUUAGUGGCGCAGCUAACGCGAUAAGUAGACCGCCUGGGGAGUACGGUCGCAAGACUAAAACUCAAAUGAAUUGACGGGGGCCCGCACAAGCGGUGGAGCAUGUGGUUUAAUUCGAUGCAACGCGAAGAACCUUACCUGGUCUUGACAUAGUAAGAACUUUCCAGAGAUGGAUUGGUGCCUUCGGGAACUUACAUACAGGUGCUGCAUGGCUGUCGU
rnacentral:rRNA from 1 species